GAUGAACGCUGACAGAAUGCUUAACACAUGCAAGUCAACUUGAAUUUGGGUUUUUAACUUCGGUUUGGGUGGCGGACGGGUGAGUAACGCGUAAAGAACUUGCCUCACAGCUAGGGACAACAUUUGGAAACGAAUGCUAAUACCUAAUAUUAUGAUAAUAGGGCAUCCUAUAAUUAUGAAAGCUAUAAGCGCUGUGAGAGAGCUUUGCGUCCCAUUAGCUAGUUGGAGAGGUAACGGCUCACCAAGGCGAUGAUGGGUACCCGGCCUGAGAGGGUGAUCGGCCACAAGGGGACUGAGACACGGCCCUUACUCCUACGGGAGGCAGCAGUGGGGAAUAUUGGACAAUGGACCGAGAGUCUGAUCCAGCAAUUCUGUGUGCACGAUGAAGUUUUUCGGAAUGUAAAGUGCUUUCAGUUGGGAAGAAACAAAUGACGGUACCAACAGAAGAAGUGACGGCUAAAUACGUG
rnacentral:rRNA from 1 species